GGAAUUACGGGAUUCAGCCCAGAA
rnacentral:siRNA from 1 species